rnacentral:hammerhead_ribozyme from 1 species
AUCUGGCUGACGAGUCUCAAACAGGACGAAACGAGUGUCUUGGAU